CAUAGUAAAAUGUAAUCCCUGCCAAUUGAUCACUGACUACUGUAGUCAGUGAUCAAUUGGCAGGGAUUACAUUUUACUAUGAUCUGAU
rnacentral:miRNA from 1 species